GACGAACGCUGGCGGCGUGCUUAACACAUGCCAGUCGAACGGAAAGGCCCUGCUUUUGUGGGGUGCUCGAGUGGCGAACGGGUGAGUAACACGUGAGUAACCUGCCCUUGACUUUGGGAUAACUUCAGGAAACUGGGGCUAAUACCGGAUAGGAGCUCCUGCUGCAUGUUGGGGGUUGGAAAGUUUCGGCGGUUGGGGAUGGACUCGCGGCUUAUCAGCUUGUUGGUGGGGUAGUGGCUUACCAAGGCUUUGACGGGUAGCCGGCCUGAGAGGGUGACCGGCCACAUUGGGACUGAGAUACGGCCCAGACUGCUACGGGAGGCAGCAGUGGGGAGUAUUGCACAAUGGGCGGAAGCCUGAUGCGGCAACGCCGCGUGCGGGAUGACGGCCUUCGGGUUGUAAACCGCUUUCGCCUGUGACGAAGCGUGAGUGACGGUAAUGGGUAAAGAAGCACCGGCUAACUACGUG
rnacentral:rRNA from 1 species